CUCACUUACUUGUGUCCUGCCUUUCUCCUACUUAUCAAGACAAGUCUAGUCUCCAUACACUUGGAGGUCUGAUGCCCUAGAAGUGCUGCUCAGAAUGAAGUAGUCUCAUCAAGAUGUGGAAAUGUGGUGCAGUAAACUAUAGAAGCCCACUGCCCGAGGAUCUCUAGGAAACCUGCUUUCUGUACCUCCCCCCAGAGUGGUCAAGGAAGCUGACUUGGCCUGAGUGAGUCCUGGGCCCUCAUGCUCAGGCGCCCCAGCAGAGGAGUUUCCCAGCUUUACGGAGGUGUUCCAGCCUCAAGACCAUGGAAGCUGCGGCCUGAUGUCUUGUUUGGCGGCCAGAAGAGAGAGAAACAGUUCCUGCAGACUCCUCACCUCGGUUCUGCCCUGGUGGGCUCCAAAAUUUGGACUCUGUAUUUUGGCCAAAGGGCAUUAAUGUCAUAAAACCCGUACCAGGAAACUUCUGAUGAAAACCAGCUUGGCUAUUUAAGAAUCACAAACAAAGUGCUCAGCAUAGGAAAGGGAAAAUGCAUCAAUUUAAGUUUCCAGAAGAACAGAAAAAGCAAGAAAACUUGGCGUGACCACAGCAAUCUCCAGACAAGCUCUGGGACUUGUGUUUAUGGUGAAAUGCAGUGAGCAGCUCAAAGCUUGGAAUGUUAUUAUGAGCAUUAUGAUUAUUAUAAUAAAAGCUGUGAUUUUUUUUUCUUCUA